AUAACCAGAUGGGCUUAUUAACGAACAAAACAGAAAAUGGCGUCAAUAAUUAUCCCAACAUCAUCUUCAACCUUGUUCUUCACUUCCAGCCACAAAUCUCACAAGAAACAUCAUCAUAUUCAACAUAUAAAUACUGCCAUUAAAGCACAAAACAACCCCUCUUCAUCAGAAGAAGAAGAACCAACUAAAUCCCCUCAAGGGUUUGGCCCAUCUUCAAUUCCAAAGGCGAAGGCUAAAACAAAAGAAAGAGCUAGAAUUAUUCGUCGAGAACCUGUCGAAACCGACCCGAGAUUCGUAUCGAAGAAAGAAAAGAAUGAGAAGAUGGUAAAGGAAGAGGAGCAAGGGAGUAAUGAGCGAGCUUUUUUGCUUACUUGGUUGGGUUUAGGUUCUUUGAUUAUUGUUGAGGGUCUUGCUCUUGCUGUUUCGGGUUUUCUUCCAGAAGAAUGGGAUGCUUUGUUUGUCAAGUACCUUUAUCCAUCAUUUACCCCAACUGUAUUCUUGUUCGUUGCUGGAACCGUUGUCUAUGGUGUGGUGAAGUACCUGGAAAACGAGAAACCGGGUAGCUCAAGUUGAUCAUCACAUGUAAUCUUGUCUUAAGACUCUAUCUUGUCGAUAGGUGACUUUUGCAGCCCCUAUAGAUUUCGGUCUGAUUUGGACUGUAAACAUGUCUACAACGUUUGUGCAUCCACGUAUCCAAGUAGAAACCCAGCAGUAGAGAUAGCAAAAAUGGGUGGUUGGGCAAGCUCCGCAACAGGUCGAAACUGGUCCUGGUCGGAACGUGUAAUUCUUUACUGUGAGUGAAGAUGGACCACCAGGCUGGGUUGAUUUAGCUCAUUAACAGUUCUGCUUCAUUUUUCUUUAAAUUUCUAAAUUAUAAGAUUUACUGAAUGUGAUAAGAUUUAUGCUAUCAAGAUAUUAAACUGAUUUUUUUAGCGAAAUGUAUACAAGCAGGCCCGCUUUAAACUUGUUUAUCCGAAUUUGACCCGAACUGUGUCAAUCAUAUGACUUUGGCAGUGGGUUAAAAAUGAAACUCACAGCCAAGUCAGCAUUUUACACUUUUGAAUACCUUAUUUAAGUUUACCCGCUUGACCCACUAAACAUGACAUCUAACCCAAAAUUAACCCAUUUUGUCAAAAUUGCGACAUGUACAUAGAAGGAUGGUAUCCUUCAGAGUAAACUAGGGUCUGCAGGUGUUAGCCCCGUGCCCUGAAUACAAAAGCUUGUGAUAGUUGGAUGACAAUUCUCUUGUCUUAUCUAUUUAUAUGUAUGAUAUUUUUAUGCUAUGGUCAGACUUGUAUGUACGCCACAAUUAAAAGUUGCAGGAUGGAGUAGGACCUUUUGAGUUUUGACAAUAACCAGUAUAUGUCUCAUCUUCAUGAGCAGCCACCAAAAUAAGACUUUGCGCCAAAGCAGUCACUGAAAGGCUCCUGCAAAGUAUUAGUUCCUGAGAAACACAUCCAUUUGAUUUAAUUUAGUAUCUACAUAUACCAUGAGACAAAACUUAACUUGAAUUGCCACAUUCAUGCUUAAAUGGGUCAUAUGUGCCACCUCUAUCCGAUAUCAUAUACACUUGAGGUCUACUUCAGGAAGAAUGGGAUGCUUUGUUAGUAACUUAUCGUUGCGCUUCAUAUACAAGUAGUAAGCUCUAUGUUAUCGGUAGCUAACUGCUGUGAAUUGUAAAUCUUAUGAAUGUUGGGUUAUCUAUCUAUAAUUUCUCCUAAAAA